CGGAAGGUCAGAAGCCAGUGGAUAGAAUUUAUACAGGCCAGUCUCCUGGGGCUAAGGGUGCUCCACUACUUGGAAGGCUUUCCUUUCUGACCAAAUUCUCAGCUUUUGAAGAGCUCUACUUGGAACAAUGUGAGAUGAAGGACACCCUUUAGCCAUCCAGAGUUUGCUGCCUGGGGAAAUGUUGAGGACCACGGACAGAAUCAAUGGGAACAAUGAAUUGGGGGAAAGGGCUGGGGCCUGGGCACCUCUGUGAGCUGUGGUU